GCUGGCAGGGGCGUGUGGCAGAGGUAGGGUAGGUAGAGGAUGGGAGGGAGCGGGACAGAGACAGGUCUGACAGCUGCUCUCUUCUCUGGAAUAGAGGGCUUCUGAGGCCUGGAAGGGACACAAUAGCUCCGGGCAACUCCCGGUCUGCUGGAUCUCGCGGUAUGCUAUGGUUCGCACUGGGAUUUCACAGCACUAGCUAGCAGCCCAGGGCACGGGCCAUCGAGGCGGCUGGGUGGGUAGCUGAACCUCGGCCCUAGACUAUUGAUUAGAUGGAAGUGGUGAUCUGGCCGAGAAGGUGGGAGAGAAGACAGGCCCGGUAGCCCAGGGGGAGGAGAAACUAGGAGCCUGAUCCAGAGAGAAAGAGGGGACCCACAGGAGGCUGGCCAAGGUGACAUUUGCUUAGUGGUGUCUGCUAGGUGCUGUCAUGGUGGGUGGCCAGAAGAAAUUAACCAUGUGCCUCUCUACUCCUCCAGUCACCUAAACCCUGAUGCUUGGCCUGUCCCGUUGUGGGCACCAAUGCCUUGUCUUUAAUGUCUAUUAGUAUCCCAAAAGGAAACUGGGAGACACAAAAUGUGUUUGCUUGAACAGACGUGAAAUGAGAUUUAGUCACUGUAGCUUAUCAGCAACCAGGAAUUCCCAGAAGGAAUGUGUUGCUGGGGAAGAAGAAGCAUUUAUUUAUUGCCUACCGUGUACCCUCUUUCCAAUGGUGGCCACCAACAGUCUAUGCCUUCCCCAUUACUUCUGGGCCACUGAGUGGACAGCCACUGAGUGGACGACAACUCGCUCCGUUCACAGGGGUAAGCCACCAUGGAAAUACAAUUUGUUCAGAGACAACCUUGGCAGUAGUUGGCUACAGAAGUAGAUAGUGUGUGACUCUGGUGUCCCCUGCUGCUCUGGCUGAGCCAAAGCAGGGAGAUAGGCCCAGUCUGGUGUCUACAGGGAGGAGAAGCAGGACCAUGGCUUGAUGUCUGAGGACAUAGUCAUCUGCAGUUCUAACACACCCCCUUGGGCUCACUAUCCUGGUGCACUGAGGCACAGAUGCCAGUCUUGAAGGUAGAGAAGGCUGUCUCCUAGGAGGAGAGGGCACUGGGGAGUCUGGGACAAGCCCAGGUGGGUGGCUAUUCCUGGCUCUUAAGAUCUGGAACACCCCCCCCCGACACACACACUUUGGGGCUAUUCAGCUCCCUGACUCUACAUGCCCCUCCCCGGGGGCCUUCUGCACACUUUCCAGAUGAGCUCUAUCAGGGCUUUCUGAACCCUGAGCAGGCCACUUGAGCAGGUGACAGCAGUGGGUGACUGGCAUCCCCACCGCUGGCAGCCAAGGCCUGGGACAGACCGUCUCCCAGGGUCUCCAGCCUCUCAGCUCUGCUCUGAAAUGAAUGCCAUCUGUGUUGGAGCCUGUAGCGUGGUCACACGAAGCCGGGCACAGUCUACUUGGGAAGCAAAGAGGUUUGUUUUGGCUCAUGGAUCUGGAAGUUGAAGUUAAGAUUGGGCAGCCUCGUUGGUUUGGGCCUCUCUGAAGGGCAGCACAGUAUAAGGGGGGGCCUCAUGGUAGAGUGAGCAGUUAACCUCUAGCCAGAAAGCAGAGAGUCCUACCAGGCCUGCCUUUUUCUCUCUGAGGACCCUCCCUCCUCCCCCUCCCCAUCCCCUCGUGUGUAGCUGCUCCCACAGGCCUAACUCUCAAAGGUCUGAUGGUACCGUCCAAUCUUGCUCUCCUGAGCUCCUAGCCUUUAACACUUGGACUUUUGGGGUCACUUACCAUAUUUAGCUGAAAGCGGCAAGCCUCUCAUGGGAUCUUUGGGGGGAAAGGUGGCAGUUAAAAAUGGAUACAUACCAUUUUAAAUCCUGAGCCUAAUACCUGCUACAUAGUAAGUGCUCAAUAAAAAGUGAGCACUGCCUGUAGGACUUAGUGCACAGGGGACAUAGAUGACCUUUAACCUGUCAUUCCAGCCUGGGUUGCCUGCCCAGAUCUAAGCUCCCGGGGCAACCCUGAUCCUUUCUGCAAACACCCAGCCUUGGCAGUCACCUGUGCUCCUUAACGUCAUUCUGUGGAUCUGACCUGCUUUUCUGCUAGGCCCUUCUCUUCUCCACUGAGGCUCCAUGACUCCCCGUGUCUGUUCCCAUUGGUUCCCUACCCUCCCACAGAGCCGUCCCGGGAUAAGGCCACCGCCCCCUCCUGGUGUCCUCAGUCAAGUACACCUGUGUGGUCGGCCAAGAUCCCAGCUUCUCAGAGGGGCAGGCAGUGUCUCUGCGGGUGCCCUGUCUUCUCCAGCUCUCAGAUCUUAACACUAUAAUUACCCCCUCCCCAUUCUGUUUUCAGUAUCUCCUGAAGGAAAGGAAAAGAAAGUACAGACUCAGAAAGGCUGGCCAGCCGGGCCAGCAGUCUACCAAGUGCUGAGACCCAAACGCAUACAUAUACUACCUGUAGGAUAAUGCACUUCCUAUCCUGGCCCCCGGCCCCUGGCCCCAGCCCCUGAUCUGAGGAAAGAAGCCUUGGGUGUCAGUCAGUGAACCUCAACCUCCUACAAAGAUGUGACCUCACUGCUGGUGCUGGAGUUUUUCAUGCUUCUCUGGACAGUGCCCUCCCCUCGGUGGUAGCAACAAGGCAAACUCUCCCCUCACACCUGCCGUAGUACCCCCUGGCUGCCCCAGCCAAGGCCUGCCAGGGUACCCUGCUAAUUCAUGCUGCCUUCUUGGGACCACUGCUGGCCCUGGAAGCAAAGGAAGCCACUCUGAGCCUAGGGCAGUGCCUUGUCAGGUAAAAGGGGACUAGAGCCAAGCCUUCAAGGCCAGCAUGGGCCCUUCUGGCUGGGCUGCCAGUAGGGAGCCUAUGCCUACCUAGGCUGUGUCAAGUAGCUGGCCCUCAGAUUCCUCCAGCCCAUCGGCCCUAGCUAGAGGCAGACGAGCGAUGGCUGCCCCGGGAGGAAGAAGUUGCACAGUGAGAAUCGUGAAGGGAGCAGGUGUCAGUGCCAUUCUAGCACCAGUGCUGGACUUUCCCACGAAUCAAGGGAAGCCGACGUUUUUCCUCUCCGGCCACUUUUAUUCUUUUUUUUCUCCCUUUUUUCUAGGUGUGUGUGGGGCGGGGCACAGGCAAAUUUGAUCCUGAUGCAGAGAUGCGAUCCCUGUUGUCCCCUCCCUUAAAGCCUCUAGCGGCUCUUUAGAAAGGACAAGGGUCCAAUGAUCCAGACCAAGGACGUAAGGGUGAGAGCAGAGGACACUGGGAGUGUUUGUCGUCGGGGUGUGUGUGUGUGUGUGUGUGUGUGUGUAGCUUUCCAGGGAGCAGGGAUGAGAGCAGGAAGCAGGCAGACCAGGGUGAGGUCACCAAAAGGGGUCAGGCUGGUGGUGCAGAGUGCCUGGGCCUCCGGAGUCAUCCCGGCUCCCCUCUUAACCCUGCUUUCUGUGAGUCUUGGUUGCAAAGUAGCAACUGCUCAGUGUGUUAGCUGAACAAACAAGUUUGCAAGUGUGGAACAAGGUACAAGAGAUUCUUUGUCCUAGGACAAAAGGAAACUAAAACAAAGUGAGGGUGUGUGGUGUGUGAUGUGUGGUGUAUGUGUGUGUGGGUGGGGGGGGGGGGAGUGGUUCAGAACUUCUGAGAACUCUGACCAACUUCAAAAGUAUUUCUACAUGCGCUGCCUGGCUGUCAGCUUCCCACCGUGCCCUUCCUCCCUCAGAUAGACCGGUGGUCUGAGACUCAAAUAGGAACAAUAUACUUUGCAGGUUAACACUUCUGUUUGUAGUUAGAGUAAGUCCCUACUUGUCCUAUGUUAGGUCCUUGCAAGUUGACGUUUCUGUUUGUAAUCAAAGUUCCAUUCCUUAGACCUGAUAUGAAAAACAAAACAUAAUUUCCUACCUACACUGAACUUGGGACCCUGUUCACUGGAUAUAAUGACCCUGUCCCUUCCCUUUCCCGGUAUCUGUCAAACGAUGUAAAACAGAUGACUCUCCCUACCUUGUGAACACCUUAUCUCUCCUAUAAAAGGGACCUCAAGAGGCCAAUGGGGUCCCUUGAGUCAGUGGGCUGAAUCAGGGUGAGAGUCCAAGGUUCACCCCAAAACACACCUUGUCAUACCUGGACAGUUGUGGAGUUUGUCUUUUCUCCUCAGGAUUUUCAGGUUUAGCACUGACCAAUCCUUACAUCUCCUGUGUUGGUGAAUAGUGCAUCAUCAGUCUUUGCUUACACUGUACUGUGUAGAUAUUUGCCUCUCACGGCUAUGACCUCAGUUUCCACCGAAUAAUCCCUGCGCUCCCUGCUCCCCGCUCACCCCCAGGUGUCCUCUGGAAACUCAAGAGCACCCUUUAUCCUGCUUUCUAGCUCUUCAGAACCCAGUACCCCCUGAGGUGCGUCCCUGAGCUGCAAAAUGGGGUGGGAUAAUGGUGGCUAAGAAGGUGCUCUGAGGAAAUGAGACCAUCAGCAGAGGGUAUCCCCAGCCCACCUUCCAGGCGUGCCCCAGGCUUCUGGGUCAAGGCCCUCUGUCGCGUGGGAUGCUGUCGUGUGCACCCUGCAGCUGUCUCCUCUCAGAUUCUCAUUGAACAGUUUCUUCUGUGACUGCCUCUCAGAGGAGGCUCCACAUGCUGCUACCACGGCCCAAAGAGGCUGUGGUCGGCCAGCUCUGCAGUCUUUGCCACAAUGGUGGUUUUAAAGAAAGGACUAUCUCCCUCAGCCCCUCACUGCCACAGCCUUGCUUGUGUGUGCUUCUGCCUAUCCCUGAACCUCCUGUCCUUGACAGCCUGCCUUUAUCUGCUCCUUCUCUAGCAGCUUGGGGGCCAGGUUCACUAUCUGUGGACAGCCUGGGGCUCUGAGCCUUUGUGGCUUCCAGGUAGAACAUGGAAACCAGCUCCCAAACCCUGGGCACCGUGGGCCAACCCUGCAGGGGAGCAGCUUAAUGACCUUGUGAGCAGUAAUUACACCCCAGGGUCCAUCUUAAUAACCAGUAUUCCCCCCAUCAGUGUGCCUUAAUUGAAAAUGAGUAGGCGACACAAGUUGCUGUGAGGUUGGUUGGCAAGCCCUUAACGUGAUAUUAAUUGUAGUAAUUAGUAGUCACUUUGUGCUGGAGUCAUCUAUAAAUAGGGGGUCCAUUAGUUUAGCAAAAGAGCAUGAUUUAAAAUGCAAACAAAAGCCCAAUUAGUCAGCUAAAUCACUCAUCUUUUUGAGCAAAUUCCCAUGUUGUAGACAGGAGCCAGCAGAACCUGAGGGUCCUGGUCAGUUUACGGCUUCCGAACGGACACUCCACGGCAGAGGCCUAACUACACAACACUGUCUCUUUAAAUAGGCUUGCCCAAGGAGGUUCUGGUUCUUGGAAGGUUCCAACAGACUCUUACUUUAUUGGCACAGCUAGCGGUCACACUUCUCCCUCUGCUUUCUGAUUGGUUCCCCCCAGAAGCACAGAAGUGCUUUUUAAAGGAACAGUAGCACAGUGCAUGCCCAGACUCUGGGAGAAUGGGUGGUGAAAUGCAGUGGGGAGGGCCUCUCUCCUUAAAUGCAGCUCUUGACAGUCCAGACAGAACGACCCACCAAUGCCAAGUGUCCUGUGACCCAAAUAGACUUGGGGAGCACAGUAUUUCUCAGACUUGAGGGCACACAGUUCAGGUGGACCCAAUAUUCCUCACGGCCUUGGGGUAUAUCUGAGGUGGACACAGUAUUUCUCACAGCUCCAGGCACACGUGUAAACUGGAGUGGCUGCACACAGAAGGCGGCUGGCCUGGAGAGGACUCGGCUGCAAAGGGAGGCAGCUAGAUCCCCGGUGCUUUUUGUUUGGGGAAACACAGGGGUGCUCAAGUACUCUGCCAAGAUGCUACCACCUGGGCACAGGUCCUGCCGGGUGAGGCAGACUACCAGAGCUCUGGUGCUCUGAGCAACCAUGCCAAGUCCUUCCCCAAGCUGCUCCUGCCUGUCCCCCACCUACCCAUCCCCACUCCUGUGCGGCCCACUGGGGUUGCUCUUGACGAAAUUUGCAUUUUAUCAGAGAUAAGCCACAAGAGGCAGCAGCCAUUUCUGAGCAUAGUAAGAAGAGAAGCCGUCCACUCCCCCUCAUCUGAGAAUGAGGGCAGCUCAGCGUGCGGUCCUUGUCCUUCUUACACCCUUUUUAUGUCACUCAGUACUUACAACAGGUGGCUAGGCUUGCUAUUUUGAAUGUCCUAUUUGACAAAAUAAAACAUUGGCAACCCUAUGUGAGUCCCGAAAAUAUCUUUUAGAGGGUUUUUGCCAGGGGAUGAAAUCCAAGUGUCUGGGAUUGUUGCGCUAAAUGGCUGAAUCAGGAACUUGAGGCGCAGUGAGUCAUAGCUAUACAGAUGUAUUCACGGAGGAUGACUGUGGUGUGUGUGUGUGUGUGUAAUAUGGACAUUGACAGACAUAUUUCCCAUGACGAGAACUGAACAUAGAUAAAGAACUAUGCAGAGUCCUGGGAGUAACCUGCUGUCUUACAGUAAGUGAGGAAACUUGUAGCAGUGUUUGCUACUUUGUGGGUUCUUCCUUUUUCCACCCUUUCAACCUCCUAACAGUAGAUAGGAGAGAGAAAAGGCCAGAAAGGAAAAGGGCUAUCACUAGACUGACUCCUGCUGAUUAGGAGCGUUGAACUCCCUGGGGCAAGUCUGAUCUUCACCAUUGGGAGAGCUCAUUUCUUCUUGUUGUUGGUUCUUCUUUGUGCACAGCUACUUACAAACCACAACAACCAACAGUGGCCAUCCAACAAGCCACCACCCACUCACCCUGCCUCUCAGGGCAUUUAUCUCUAGAAGGUCUCCAGAAUUCCAAAGGUCACACACUUGCAGAAACUCAUUUGUAGCUGGCAAAAUCACACCCCUGCUAGAGCACGAGGCAAAUCACAGUCAGCUGCUGUGGACUGUCUGAAGCGGCCCCACAUCCCACACCUGGGACUAAAACAAAAACAUUGUUACAAGAUGCCAACAUUGUCACUAUAGAAACUGAGGCUGAGCCAGGGAAAGAAAACAUCCCAAGCCUUAUACAGUGAUUAGACAGCCCAGGCUCUCUCUUGCCAGCACACACUGGCAGCCUAUUUCCCCAGGUCCUGCAUAAAGACAGGAAGCAACAUACACGAGGACAGUGGAACAUGUUUCACUUCCUGGAAACUCAAAAACCAUCAAACUCAGUUGACAACCAGUCAUACCAUAUGCAGAAAUUAGCUCGCAGGUCAGACAGGGAUAUAGCUUGGUGGUAAAGCACUUGCCAAAUCCAAGUGGUUCAAUCCUCAGUACUGGUUAAAUGGAGGGGGGAAAGGCUAAAGACAGACGGGAGAGCCAAAGGUAGAAAACUACGGGAAGUCUCCGUGCUGUCUGUUGUUCCUCCUGGCAGGUCCUUCAAAGGUCAAUGUGUUAAACGCUUGGUCCCAGCUUGCCUCUCUAGUCCUGGUGCUCUUAAGAGAGAUGAGCCUGGGGAAGUCCUCUGAGUCACUGUGGUGUUCUCUCCAGGGCAGUGUGAGACUCCAGUCUCUUUCUCACUUCUGGGAAAGUCAUGAGGGAAUCGUUUCUCACGGCAGCAUGCUCCCACCUAUGAUGAAUUGUCCAACCCAACGGAGCUCUAAAACAACACACCCAUCUACCUGGAGGUUCCAGCCUCAAUAGGUGUACAAAUAAAAUUUGAUCCGUUCUGGUUCAGUAAAAACAAGCCUUGAACUUCUUACUCCCCUGCCUUUAUUUCCUGAGUGCUGGGAUUACAGAAUUGUACCAUCGCACCCGACUUGGGAAACUUUUUCUAAGUCGGCUGUAGUGGGUAUUUGUUGUCAUGGCUGGAAGCUGACUGACAGCCUCAGAUCUAGCGAUGGAAUCUCUCUCAGUCGUGGGGAUGCACAAUGGCACUAGCAUCGAAGAGACAAAGCCAGCGGUGUGGCAAUUAAAGACGUGUGCUUCAAAGAUUCAAGAACUCCACGGCAACGUGCAGAAAAGGCGACACUCUCUGCAAAUUGCACAUCUCGGUAGUAGACUCUGUCUGAUACAAAGGACUCUGAGGACUCGGAAAAGACAAGACAAAUGAUAUGAACAGAAAUGCCUUCCGAAUCUAAACGCAGUAAGAGUCUGAUUGGCUGUGAAGCAUCAUUAGCCCCCAGGGGAGUGAAAUCAAAGCCUCAGUGAGAUGCCACCUUACACUGGGAUGGGCAAUCUCAAAACUUCUAGGGCUGGUGAAGUAGAAGGAUCUGAACCUCACGUCUCGGAUGGAGUUUGUCAAGGCCUCUGGGAGAGAGGUCUGGAAGCUCCAGAGGGUCACAGGCUGAGUAAUCCCACCCCUUGGUGGAUGCCCACGGGAGCUGAAAGUACACAGCUCCCUCUUGACGCCGGGGAACCACCACAGAGGCAAAGUGACAGUCAAGCGGAGACCUCACAGAUGGGGAAGUGGUCAGCCAGGAAGUGAACAGGAAGGAGUCUGGGGUGUGCUGGGAGCAGCAGCAGCCCCUGUGGCAGCCACCGCAGCCGCCGAAUUCACACCUGAGGUCCCACACAGUAGUUGCGAGAGGACUCAGAGAAGACUGAUCAAAGGACUGCUCAGUAGGUCUUCAGGCGGGUCCCUCUACCAACUGGAGCCGGGGCCAUCCCUGAGCCUAAUGCCUACCUGGCAGCCUGUGGGUCCCGCACCCCUAAAUGGACAACCUUGUCUGACCUCGAUGAGGAUGUGUCUAGUCCCACAGCAACUUGAUGUACAGGGUGAGGAAAUGGGGGUUGACACCCAGAGGGGGGCUUCUCCUUCGACGGGGGAUGGGGAAAGACUUAUGUGAGGGUGAACUGGGAGGAGAGGAAGGGCUGAUGUUUAGCUGUAAAGUGAAUAAAUAAAUUGGAGGAGAAUCUGUUUCAUGGCAUUUAAAAAAAGAUGGCUCCCACCCCAGUUUUCUGCUCCCACGGAUUCCCGGUUGGUCUCUUCCCACUUUCUGCCCUCUUGGCCCUUCUCUUGUCCCUCUGCCUCUAUCCCUUCUCCAGGUCCUCAGCCUUCCCCAAAUAACCCCCCUUAGACCCAUAUUUGUUGCAUGGCGUGAUUUUUGAGGACACCUUGGCCUGGGCCCUGCUCACUGUGUUAUAUUUCACCACACUGGGCAGCUCACUAAACAGGGUUCAGCGGCUGCCUCAUGAUGAUUCCCACAGGCAGCAAAAGCCUCUACCAGGAUUCUAGAGCCAAGGCUUGGACCAGGACCAGGGCUGUCUCCUUGGUGUCUGGCCCUGGCAUAGAUUGUCUAGGAGUUCUACUCUUCCUGGGUGUAACCUAGGCAUAGCCACACGGGGCUAGGUGUGGGGAGGGGCGUAGGCUCCUAUGCCCCCCCCAGGGAUCCCCCACACCACCACUCCACCUCCGCAACCCUAAACUCCAAGUCUCCACUCAGAAGUAUUUUUGGAUGGCCUUUACUUAGCCAUCACCUCUGGUGACAGAAGGCAUCCGCUGUCCCUCUCCCUUACCAGGUAGUGCAAGGCAGGAAGCGCCAGUCCUCCGGUCCUACCUGGGUCUGGGGACAGGCCCUCUCCUGGACUACUCUGACUCCCAGCCCCUAAUCACCUCAUCCAUACACAGAAGUACCAAGUACAGGCCAGCAACCUAGCCACAGAGCUUAUGUGACCAGCACACACACUCCAAAACAGGGCGAGUUCUGGGCACCUUUGUGGGGUACUGGAGCGUGCUGGUGUGUGACAUGUGCAGUGUAUGUAGUAUGACCACGGGGGCAGCCUGUGAAGUUCGAGGGGCAGAGACUCGGUUGGACCCCGGGGGCCACUGUGGCUUUAUUUUUUUUUCACAUUUUUUUUCACUUUUUUUUUUUUUUUUUGGUUCUUUUUUUUUCGGAGCUGGGGACCGAACCCAGGGCCUUGUGCUUCCUAGGUAAGCGCUCUACCACUGAGCUAAAUCCCCAGCCCCGCCACUGUGGCUUUAAAGUUUGUGUUGCCCCAGCCCCUCUGCUGCCAAAGCUUAUCUUGUCCUCAGGUCCCUCCCUGCCACUUUCACUGACCUGGUCACUCAGGGAAACUACCUGUGGACACUGGCCGGGGUCCAAGGCUAGCAUCCACAGCCACAGGAGGCUCCUGGGGGCAGGCUCCCCGUCUUGCCUCCCUCUGCCUGUGCCAGGAGACCUCUGCAUGACAGAAAGCCAACUUCCUGGCACCCUGUUUACCCCCUCUCCCCUCCUCUUUCCUCUCCUCUUCCAGUCAACCCCCACGCCCAUUCUCUCUGGUGGAGUCUGGAGACCAGGAGACUGGAGUCCAGGAGACCCCUUGGCAGCCUGAUCCAUCCCACCAUCUUGGUUCUAUUAGACCUGUCAGAGGUGGGACUUAAUCUUCCUGGGACUAUUAAUAGUCCCAUCAGGAGUGCUGAGCAGUAACCUGCCUUUAUUAGCAAGGCAGUGCCAGCUGGCGUGCCCCACCCCCACACAGGUUGCUGUGAUGUCAGCAGUGGCAACUGCGAGGAGCCAGCACCAGGCGUGGGGUGGGGGGUGGGGAUGCAGGGCAGGUGUGGCAGAGGAGGGCAAGUCAGGCCCCAUGCCUUUCAGCCUCACUCAACCUUUGACCUACUCCCUUCAUUCUUCUGCCACUUUAGGAAGUUUCUCCCGGGGCUGCAGCCUGUCCCUUUGGGCUGUGCCUAUGACAAGAGUCUGCCCAGUCUGUAAUUGUUGGGCCUGAUGCUCCAUUGCCCUAACACAGAGUCCUCUAGAGAGUGCCAGCCUGAAGGGGGGCAUCCUCUAUUGAAGACCAAUGGCUGUUUGGUUCCCUCCACCAGGCACUUCCAUACUCAGCUCCCUGCUCCCACUAGGAGCCUCGCCUCACUGUCCCUGUUCCCCCAGGGAAGGUGCUCUCUAUGGGCACCUUCCUAUGGAAACCUAUGGAAACUUCACCUAUAGUUUCACAAGGGCCAUCCAGUCCAGCUGUGAGUCAACUGCCUUGGCUGGAUUCAGAUUAGCAGAAGAAACCCAGGCAGAACGAUUUGCUUAUACACAGACAUGGAGCGGAGCCUGGGUGUCCAGCAGCUCAGACACCUGGGGAAACAGACCACAGCCAAGUUCUCUUCCCUAAGAGCAACCACUCACCCCGAGGAGGAGCAGGAGCAGGAGCAAACACGGAGGCCACGGCUCAUCUUUCCUUGCCAUUGGGCUUUCAAGACCCAUACUGAUGCCCAGGGCGUUCAUGGGGAAACUGAGUCUGGGCAGACCAAGGAGCUGCAGCCAACUUCCCAAGCCUGUAGUUAGGAGCUAGGGGCAGCGCACAGAUGAAGUUACAGAUGUGGGAAGGUCCGGGACUGCGUGGGCGGGGAGUCUCUCCUUGCUGCAAGCCCUGAUGUAACGCGCAUGUGUGUUCGAGAGAGCGUGUCAGUCACAAGUGGGCCAAGCACGCUGAGGUGGUCUGAGCCUAUGUGCCCCAGCUGAUCCCACUCCCAGGACAAUGCCUUCUUGGCGAGCAGAGUGGACCAACGACAUGGACCAGGGCCGACUCCAAGGGAAGAGCACAUAAUUUAGUCACCUUUGCUGAAUUAUUUAACCACCACGGGGGUGGGGGUGGGCAUGGGGUUACGAAGCUGAGAUUAAGCACUAAUGCUGUGCUUAAUCUGAGCAAUACAUAGUCCCCUCUUUCUGGUUUUGUUUACCAAACUGAAUUAAAGUUGCUCACAAUCAAUUAUUUGAUUCCCCCACAGGGAAGUGAGGCAUUUGCCACAGGGCACACUCACCCACUACAAGGAACCCUCCGAUCCAGAGGGGGCGCAGCAGCCCCUCACUCCUGCCACACACCUGAUGCCCACCCUGACCCCUAAAUCCUUCAGAAAAAAUCUAGUGACCUGACCCUGCCGCUGCCUGUGACACUGACAGGCCAGCCCAGAGCUGCAGCGCGCACCGGUGAGAACGCCCUGUCUCUCCUGGACUCUCUAGCUGAGGUACCGUGAGCAUCUUUCCUCCAGGCACAGAGGCUGAAGAGGUCAGGGGACCUGCCCCAGGUGACAGGCAGUAAAGGACAGUGGAGGAGCCACUGAAGUCAUAGUCACACCCCCAGGUCGGUCCCCACGCUGCUGCUAGUCACCGAUGGGUAAGGAAAUGCCUCUGUCACUCCCCAAGGGGAAGUGCAAACCCACCUUUCCCUCCUCAGCUUCCCUCAUACAGGCAAACAAACCUGGCGGAGUCAGCGCCACCCGCCACGCCACCGGUGGGACCGCCACUGGUGGGACCACGACAUCAAACACAAAGGAGCAGGAAACAGAAGGACCACCCUGUUCCUAGCGACAUCUUUGAGCCACCAUCCCAUUCAGAAAUACCGUAUAGCAUUCCUAGACCUCUGAUUGGACCAGCCAAAGCAAACCUGCCCUUGUCAAGGCCUCUGCUGGUGUUUCCCAUUACUGCCUGAGGCUUUCCCAGCUGAUAAGAUUCAGACACAAGCGUUUGCUGCCAGAGCCCCUGAUCAACCUGCUCCAGUGGUGCUGUGACUGCGCUGGGCCAAGGGAAUGGCACUGUUAGGAGGUGGGACUAGAUGUGUCCCUGUGGGCGUGGGCCUUAAGACCCUCAUCCCAGCCACCUGGAAGCCAGUAUUCUGCUAGCAGCCUUCAGGUGAGGAUGUAGAACUCUCAGCUCCUCCUGCACCAUGCCUGUCUGGAUGCUGCCAUGCUCCUGCCUCGAUGAUACUGGACUGAACCUCUGAACCUAUAAGCCAGCCCCAAUUAAAUGUUGUCCUUAUAA